rnacentral:rRNA from 1 species
AACGACGCUGGCGGCAGGCCUAACACAUGCAAGUCGAGCGAACCCUUCGGGGUUAGCGGCGGACGGGUUAGUAACGCGUGGGAAUAUACCCUUUGGUACGGAAUAGCCUCGGGAAACUGAGAGUAAUACCGUAUGUGCCCUUCGGGGGGAAAGAUUUAUCGCCAAAGGAUUAGCCCGCGUUGGAUUAGAUAGUUGGUGGGGUAAUGGCCUACCAAGUCUACGAUCCAUAGCUGGUUUGAGAGGAUGAUCAGCAACACUGGGACUGAGACACGGCCCAGACUCCUACGGGAGGCAGCAGUGGGGAAUCUUAGACAAUGGGCGCAAGCCUGAUCUAGCCAUGCCGCGUGGACGACGAAGGCCUUAGGGUUGUAAAGUCCUUUCAGAUGGGAAGAUAAUGACGGUACCAUCAGAAGAAGCCCCGGCUAACUCCGUGCCAGCAGCCGCGGU